rnacentral:rRNA from 1 species
UACAGAGGGUGCGAGCGUUAAUCGGAAUUACUGGGCGUAAAGCGCACGUAGUCGGCUUUGCAAGUCGGGUGUGAAAUCCCCGGGCUCAACCUGGGAACUGCAUCCGAGACUGCAUUGCUAGAGUAUGGGAGAGGGAAGCGGAAUUUCUGGUGUAGCAGUGAAAUGCGUAGAUAUCAGAAGGAACAUCAGUGGCGAAGGCGGC